CUCAGGAAGUCUACAUCCGCAUCAGAGAGGGGGUGGCUACUCACUGUGCCCGAAUUCACAUAUUUCUUUUUCUUCAUUUUCUUUUUUGGGUUUACCACCUGCCGAGAAAAACAAAACAAAACCAAACCCAGUUACCAGAUCUUCCUGUGAAGUGGGCAGUGAGAAAACAUCCUGUUUGUUCUGGGGUUUCCAGCACCACUGGGCAUGCACAGCCCCUCCCUGCCUCCCCGUGUACCAGCCUCUCCAGCCCUAAGCGGCUGCACCCAAACGGCAUGAAGGGGACCAGCACCCUCUAGGGGCCAGCAACCUCCCCACUCCUGGGCUGGAGCUCGAAGCCUUCUCCUCUCCCUCUCCUCACAUCCCCAGCGUCUCCAGGGUCCCCAGGGCUGGUAUGGGGUCUACCCUCCUGUGCAAAGGGGGCACUGAGUGGCUCCCAGGACCAGGAGCUAUGCAGGCUCUGGAUACAAAGGUAGAUGUCAGGCCUUUGGAGUCUUCCUUCGACCUCCAGACUCAAAGCAGAACUGCCUCAGCCUGCAGGCAAAUCUCUCCGAGAGCUGUUCUCCAAUCCCACCACACUCGCCCAUGUCUUGACCAUUUGUCAGCAGAGCGCUGGAGUUUAAGAACACAGAUUCUUGGGGAGGGAGGUGAGAGGGGGGUUCAGGAUGGGGAACACAUG